CGCACUGAUGAAUAUCUUCUGGUCCUUUCCUUGACUUUGGAGUUUAUUUCAGUGCAAGAAUAAAAUUCCUUCUUGCAGAAAGAUCAGGUUGUAAUGUAGCCUGACCUUUCCGAGAGUUGGAUACAUUUUAUUUGUAGUUUGUCAGUGCAGUUUGUCACCUAUAACCAAGCAGACUGCCAAUAAUCAACUGGGCAUGUAAAUUGAAUCUAGUGCCCGACCCCCUAGUAUCGGCCCAUGCUGAAUCAAAAUUUUCAUGCCUCAAAUGUCGACCUAACACAAAACAUUCCAUCUUGCCAUAUCAUUCGAUUUCCUCUCUGUUAAACAAAAUACUUUGGUAUUAACCAAUUUAUGGUCAAAUUUUCUUUUGCAUUCUAUUUCAGAGCGGAGUGUUACUUUGUCAAGUAAAUAUGAUCCAACCAACUCUACGGUGGAGUACAGAAUUUUUAAGCCAUGUAAUAUGGUGGCGUUCGGAGGGCUGCUGAUCUGAUUCUAAUGUGGAGGUGAGAUGAAAUUAUCAUGGAUCCAGCUUACGCGCCGCUCAGCCAGUCCCCCUCAUAUAGUAUUUAUUGGUUGAUAGGCAGCAUCAUGAAUUCAGAAACAACCAGAAUGAUUGGAGCAACUUGGACAAGUAAAGAAGAGCACAUAGAAUAGAGAUGACUGACAAUUAAACAAGCUGCGUUUUGGGCUAUUUGACUAAGGGAUAAGCAACUAAAUAAGUGGAGAAUGCCUACUCAAUCUUUUUGUCCUAUGGGAUUAACAAACAAGUGAAAACAGCUGCUCGUUAACUCUCUUGACCUAUCGGAACAGAAUGUUGCUCUGUCAAAUAUGAAUAAAGUUCAUGCACAACUGCAACUUUAUUGGCAAUGCACACGUGAGCCAAACAAUUCAGCAGUGUAGUACAAAGUUUUGAAGCCAUUUAAUAUGGCGGAGUUCGCAGGGCUGCUGAUCUGAUUCCAAUAUGGGGUUGAGAUGAAAUUAUCGUCAAUCCAGUGUACUCACAAUUCAGCCAGUCCCUCUGUUAUGUGUCUUCGUAGUAUUGUUGGUUUGAUAGGCAUCUUGAAUUCAAAAACAAGCAUGAUUGGACAAGUAAAGAAGAGCACAUAGAAAAGAGAUGAGUCAAACAAGCUGCUUAUUGUACUAUUUCCCUAAGGGAUAAGUAACAACUAAAGUGGAAAAUGCCUACUCUCCUAUGGGAUAAACAAACAAGUGAACACAGCUGCUCGUUUAGUCUCUUGUCCUAUGAGAGCGGAACGUUACUCAAGUAAAUAUGAACAAAGUUCAGGCACAACUGUAUGCAAAUGCUCAUGUGGGGCCAAUCAAUUCUGCGGUGGAGUACAAAAUUUUGUAGCCAUUUAAUAUGGUGGAGUUUGCAUGGCUGCUGAUCUGAUUCUAAUGUGGGGGUGAGAUGAAAUUAUCAUGGAUCCAGCUUACUCACCGCCCAGCCAGUCCCCCUCAUAGUAUUUGUUGGUUGAUGGGCAGCAUCAUGAAUUCAGAAACAACCAGAAUGAUUGGCGCAACUUGGACAAGUAAAGAGCACAUAGAAUAAAGAUGACAAUUAAACAAGCUGCAUUUUGGGCUAUUUCACUAAGGGAUAAGCAACUAAAUAAGUGGAGAAUGCCUACUCAAUCUUUUUGUCCUAUGGGAUUAACAAACAAGUGAGAACAGCUGCUCGUUAACUCUCUUGACCUAUGGGAUCUGAUUCUAAUGUCGAGGUGAGAUGCAAUUAUCAUGGAUCCAGCAAAUCACAGUUCAGCCAGUCUCCCUCCGUUAUGUGCCUUUAUAUAGUAUUGUUGGUUUGAUAGGCAGCAUCAUCAAUUCAAACAACCAGAAUGAUUGGAGCAACUUGGACAAGUAAAGAAGAACACAUAGAAUAGAGAUAAGUUAACUGAACACCUACUUGUUGAUCUGUCCUAUGAGGUAACUAACCGCCAAACGAAAAGGACUCCUGGAGUAACUGUUUUUAAGAUGCAAUAAAUGUACUAAACCAACUUGGCUGUGUCUUUUUAUUUCCCUCAUGCUUAGUGGUAAACUACUUGUUUGAUAUGCCAUUUUUUGUUUUGGUAAGCUGACUAACUGUUGUGUAAAGUUGCUUUUUGUAAACCCAACAAUUGUUGCUGAUGCAUUGCCCUGCUGGCUGCCUGGUGCUACUUUUUGGCCUCAAUUGUAUCUGUAAAUGUUUGUGCACUGACAAGUGUCUUCAUGAUCCUUUCCUUGAUCUUGGAGUCUCAUUCCAGUGCAAGAAUAAGAUUCCUUCUUGCAGAAAGGUCAGGUUGUAAUGUAGCCUGACCUUUCCUAGAGUUGGAUACAUUGUCUGGACAUGUAUCUAGGUUUUCUACUGUAGGUAUUCUGCAAUGGAGUUUUUUUUUUUAUGCAUUUUAUAUUUAAUCCAUUACUUAGCCUAAGUUUUGUCACAAAUAGCCAAGAAGAGAGCCAAUAUAUAGCUAUUUGGAAAUAGAAAAUCCAUUUUAUUGCUGGUGAUUGGGCCUAAACCUAGCAUCCAGAGAAUGUAGGCUGAAGAUUUUUGCUCUAUUAUGCUGCUGCAAAUUGUAAAACAGUGAAACCUCCAUUUUACAUUCCCUGAUUUUAGUUUUCCCUCAUUUUACAUUGUUUUGUGGCCCUACCUAUAUAUUAUGCAUAAUACAUUUCCCUGAUUUUACAUUGUCCUGGAUUUUAUAGGAUUUUUUUUGGUUCCCUGGAAAAUAUAAAAUGGGGGUUCUACUGUAUCAACAUAGGGCAUGUGUUGUCUAAAUGAUCAUCACAGGUAUGUAUUAACCAGGAAUUUUGAUUUAAAAAUAAAACAUUAUCCAUC